rnacentral:lncRNA from 1 species
AUCCAAAUUAAAGUGCCUUCAAACGAACAUUCAAACUCCGGCCCUCAACAUAAAAGGAUAUGAUGCACUUCUCCUGUCUAUUGUUUGUGUUGGGAAAACGACCUCCCAAGAUUGCCCAAGAAAUAAAGCUUAACAAUGUGAAAAAAUUCCAAACCACUUCAAGAACAAGAAAAUGGGGAAGAAAUAAUUUUCAAUGUAUAUUGGAAGAACAAUGUAUUUGGAUUACUUGAACAAGCCUCAAGUUAAUCCCCAAAAAUAUAAAUAGCUUUGAAUUUAUACCCAAGAUGAACAACCUCAAUCUUGUAAAAUUCUAUCCAAGCUUUCUCUUCUAUUUUGCUCUCAAAAUGGGGACUUCAUGAAGGAGGAAAAACAGCUAUAUAAAUAGCUGAGUUGGGCGCCAUGGCGCCAAGUUUCGUGCAGAAACAUGGGCGCCAUGGGGCCCACCUCACUGCAUCUUACUUUCAAUUUGAGUGGGCGCCAUGGCGCCUGACUCCCUGAACCAUUUUUUUCUUACAAUUCUCCACCUCGUACAUCAUUUGAUAGACCUCAAAUUUUGGACGAACACAAGAAGAAGCAGCAAGCGCCAAACUCGGCUGCACCAUUCAAACCAUGGUUGCCUACGUAUCCAAAACUCGGAAUCAAGCCUCCGUAGUUCACCUCCACCUUCAUAUACACUUCACCUCAUUUCAACCCCGCCCCGAAGGGCCACGCCCACUCGGGCAUAUUAACACGGACUAAUGUGAAGCAAGUCCAAGCAAUGCUGAAACUUACUACCUGUUAUCACUUUGGUUAACAUGUCUGCUGGGUUCUCAUUUGUGUGUACUUUCAAGAGAGAAAUAUCACCUUCCUCUAUGACAUCACGCACAAAAUGGUACCUGACGUCGAUAUGCUUGGUUCGAGCAUGAUGAACCUGAUUCUUAGCCAAGUGAAUCGCACUCUGACUAUCACACCACAAGUCCACACAAUCCUGCUCAAUCCCCAAAUCAUCUAGAAGACCCCAUAACCACAAUGCUU